AGCCCUGGCUGGGCCUGAAACGGCAAGAACUGGCUCCAAGGUCCUGGCCCUGUCUGAGGAAACUGCCACCCAACACAAUGACAGCCAUUGUGGGCAGCAGCCGGGCAGACGGAGCCGGAGCUUCCAAGCAGGGGCGGCUGCAGCCGGGCUGGGAGCCUUCACGGGUCAUUAGCUUGCUUAAUGGUGCUGCAAUAGGCCCCGCUCGCCGGCCUCCCCUGAGACACCCAGAGGAGGCAGAGGUCACGAGGUGGCCUGGCUCCUUCUCCAGGGCAGCUGGCACCGUCUGCUCCCCCUACCAGGGGUGCGCCCGUGUGGACACAGGAUGCAGGGUCAGGGAGCAGGGGAGGAACUGAGUCUCCCUUGUGCAGGCACAAAGGCGGCCUCAGGACCAGGGACCCAGCUGGGCACCAGCUGCUGGCUGGCCUGGCCUGCCUGCCGGCGUCAGGGGGCCCAUGGGGGUGAGCCAGAGGCCUGGCUUUCCCCGGGGCCAAAGGGCUCUAGGAGGCACUGGCUGCUUCCCCAGGCCCCGCCAGAGCCCUGGCAACAGGGUCAUGGGGCGGCCGGCGGUGCUGGGGGGCAGGUGGGUGCUCUGGGUCCACUUGAUCAUGGUUUCCGGGGAGCAGUGCAGGAAGAUGAGCUUGGUGCAGACCCCCCAGAGGCAGGCUAGCGCAAAGCUCCAAGGAAGUGCUCCCAGAUGAACUUGGCCGAGAGCAUCACCAGGGCCACGAGGAGCCCAGUGACGCUGGGGAAAGCAGGCGGGGCUGGGACCCCACCCACACCCCUCCCUGGACUCCCCGGCCCACCUGGGUGAUGUUAUCCCAAAGACAGGGGCGAGAGAUGAGAGGAUGGAAAUGUCUCUUUGGGAAAAAGGCUGCAGGAGCUGGAGGUGAUGAACAGAGCAUGCGAGAGGAAGGGGAGGGCCCCUCCUCCCUCCAUGUUAGAGAAGGGAGCCCUGGAUCUGGCUGCCACCAGCGGCUUGUGCACACCUGGGGCUGAGGGCACACAGGGCUGCACAUGCACACUCAAGGCCGCUGUGAGAACAGGUGAGCAGGGCCAGAGGGCUGUGAAAAGUCCAGCUGAAGGCUGCACUUCCAGGCUGAAGAGCGUUUUACCAGCAUCCGCCAGGAAGCCUGGGCUCUGGGGGCUGUGUCAUUGUAGAUGACCAUUUCCAGGUCGUGGCCACAGCCCCAGUUCUGGUCACAGCCAGGCCACCAAUCCUCCUGCGCCACCCACCACUUAGCCACCAGGCCGUCUUCAGGGCAUCGGCCGGCCUCGGUUGCUGCGGCCAGACCCUGAUGUUGCACAAGAAGGCCGGCCAGUCCAUAUCCUGCAGCCUGCGAGGAGGUCAGGUCUUUGUCAGCAAAGGUGCAAAACCAGGGGAGUGGCGGCACCAGGCCCCAGAGACAUUUGAAAUGACCUCAGAAGACCCAGGGCCACUCAGGGUGACCCCAUCGGGGAGCUGCCUCUGACAGGCUGUGACGGAUGUUUACGGAAGGGACCAAUGGUCACCUGACUCUCAGGAGUGCAGGAGAGGCCACUGAGGCCCAUUCAGAAGGCACUGGGUGUUGGUCCCUGUGGACUCGGCCUCUGGCUGGUGGUGAGGAAGAGGAUUUCUCACCACCCAUCCUCUGGCCCCUGCUGCCUGAGGGAGCAGACUCCCGUCAGGUGGGUUCCGGGAAGUUCGUCUCCAGUAGGAACUCCAGGCCAAGUGCACGUCUCUGAUCAUGCGUCACCGUGGCGGUGCGUGCGUGCGUGCGUGUGCACUGGUCUGUGGCCUGUGGCCCGUGCGUCCCACUAGGACCCAUGUGAGGUAGAGGGUCUUCCAACUCACCUCCCAUUCAGGUCCUCCCUGUGCCACACAGACACCCAUCUGUGCCCUCCCCUUCUGUGCCAGCAAAAAUGGAAGAGAGAGACACUGAAAAGAGGCAACUCAAAUGGAAUGAAACUGUUUCUGUUGGGGAAUGCUCGGAUGUUCAAUCAUCUCAGAAAAUCCUACCCCGCCUCCCGAUGCAGAUGAUUACUCUAAGUGCAACUCCAAUCGGGCUGGUGACCCCCCAGGAAACCUCUGAAGCUGUCCCAGGCUGUUCCCAACAUAGGGCCUCCACUCUGGCACACCAGGACCCGAGGCCCCUGACAGGCUCCUCAUUCCUGCCUCGCUCAAGGCUCAGGUCCCCCACCUGAAAUACCCACUUCCACCAGCAUCUCCUGCCUCACUCCCGCUGCCAGGUCCCCAGAAGCUCUUGUUUAUGAGCUUGCCUGCCAUCCACAGCCCCCACCACAACCCAAGUGGCUGUUGAAUUCGCUGCCCUGAUUCUCUGCCCGGAGCCUCGGUUCAGACCGUGUUCCCUGGCGAGUUAGUGUUCAGCAUUUUUGUUUAUUUGUUUGUUCUUUAACAAAAGGUUGUUUUGGUUUGAGAUUCAGCAAAAACACACACUGCAUUCAGCUUCCUCUCUAUUUAGGAUUCAGUAAAUUGGUUGUUUUCCCGUC